GUGCUCACUUCAGCAGCACAUAUACUAAAAUUGGAGCAACACAGAGAAGAUUAGUACGACCCUUGCACAAGGAUGACAUGCAAAUUCAUGAAGUGUUCCAUAUUAAA